rnacentral:rRNA from 1 species
AGAGUUUGAUCAUGGCUCAGAACGAACGCUGGCGGCAGGCCUAACACAUGCAAGUCGAGCGAUCGCAGCAAUGCGGGAGCGGCAGACGGGUGAGGAACACGUGGGAACAUACCCUUUGGUUCGGAAUAACUCAGGGAAACUUGAGCUAAUACCGGAUAAGUCGGCAACGAGAAAGAUUCAUCGCCGAAGGAUUGGCCCGCGUCCGAUUAGCUAGUUGGUGAGGUAAUGGCUCACCAAGGCGACGAUCGGUAGCUGGUCUGAGAGGAUGAUCAGCCACAUUGGGACUGAGACACGGCCCAAACUCCUACGGGAGGCAGCAGUGGGGAAUAUUGGACAAUGGGCGCAAGCCUGAUCCAGCCAUGCCGCGUGAGUGAUGACGGCCCUAGGGUUGUAAAGCUCUUUCACCCACGACGAUAAUGACGGUAGUGGGAGAAGAAGCCCCGGCUAACUUCGUGCCAGCAGCCGCGGUA